ACUCAUACCAUGCAGGGGAAAUACCAUGGUCAUGAAAGUGGCUUUGCCAGGGUAAAGCUCAUCCAUUGCACUUCAGGUGUGCUGAGCCCUAUGAUUUUCCCAAACAUGGGGAACUCAACUGCAUAAUUUGUGUUAAUGGGGGAUUGCAUUUGUGUUUUCCCUGG
rnacentral:snRNA from 1 species